rnacentral:rRNA from 1 species
GCUUGGCCCUAAACACAGAUAUACUAAUACAAUAUUAUCCGCCAGAGAACUACAAGCGAAAAGCUAGAAACUCCAAGGACUUGGCGGUGCUUCAAAUCAACCUAGAGGAGCCUGUCCUAUAAUCGAUAUUCCACGUUUAACCUUACCCACUCUGGCCAACCAGCCUAUAUACCGCCGUCGUAAGCCUACCUUAUGAAAGAACCAAAGUAAGCAAAACAGUUAAUAACUAACACGUCAGGUCAAGGUGUAGCAUAUGGGUGGGACAGAGAUGGGCUACAUUUUUCAAAACAAACAUACGAAUAAUACGCUGAAACACGUGUUUAAAGGUGGAUUUAGUAGUAAGGUAAGCAAGAAAAACUACCUGAAAUCUGCUCUGAAGCGCGC